AUCGCUUCUCGGUCUUUCAGCCAAGAUCAAAGUGUAGUAUCUUGUUAUUAGCUUUAUAUCCGGUAUAUUCCUAAUAUGGGAACUUCGAUAUUAAACUGAUUUUUGAUUACCGCCGAAGUGUUGGAGCUUGCUCUAACUUUGCCACGAGUAGACCUGAUUGAUAUUGCAGGACAUCCAGGUAUUUGGUUAUGUAAC